UGGCCUUUCUGCUCUUGGUUUUGAGCAAACAGCAUCGGAUUCGUCCAUGAGUCUUGCUGGUGGAGGCCUCCCCGGCUUUUCCUGAAGGAGUUUCUCUUGCUGUGUGAACCAUCAGUCCCUGUAGUCUUCCAAAGAGACAGUGAUUAUGGGCUCAGUGUUGGGGCAAUGGAACCCACUUUUCCCCUCUUUUCCUCUCUUUAUCUUAUUGCCUGGUGUCAUUUCUACAAGUACAUUCAGUUAUGGUCAGGUUGCUCUCCAGGAGAGCUGGAAAGUGCCUUGCCUUGCCUGGGCAUCCCAGAACAUGCCUGCAGUUUGGGAGGGAGGAUUCUGCCUCAGCUGAGCUUUUGCUAAUCCCUUUUUGCUCCACUUUGCACCUAUUUUGUAGUUAACUCUGCAAAAUGCCUCUGGUUAAUGGGUCCAGGGGCAGGAGGCAUUAACCUUUGGGCCUGCCUGGUUCCAGUCUUUAACUUGCAAUUAGGUCUACGAAUACGUGUAUAAAUGUGAUGAGGUUUCUAAAAGCUUGUAUCAAUUUGAAUUGUCUUGGAUUCUUGCAAACUUCCUGGUGCUGAAUACUAACUGCAUAGCACAGACAGACAAAGCUGUUCAGAAACAAAGCCAGAGCAGUGUUUCAAGGUCAAAGGAAGCUCUCAGUUAUAUUUAAUCCUAAUAUUCUAGAUUAGGAGGUGAAAGAAAUUGAGUUUGUUGUGAAACUUGUUUUAAUAUGUGCUUUUUAGGGGAAUUUUUACCUAGAUGUCUUUUGAAUUGAGUGCCAUUGUGAAGGACUGAUUGGGGGAUUGGAGUGCUGUAUAUAGCUAACAGUGAGUGAUAACUGCUUAGCAUCCUUCCCCUGACCACUCCUUGUGCUUUUUGUAUGUAUCCUAGGAGUUGCCAUAAGCAGUGUAGAUACCACUUGGAUCCUACAGAGCUGAAAUGCAAACAUAGCCUUAAUCAGAAGUCCCAGGAUCACUGCAGUGAGCAGGGCUUACUCCAAUGAAUAAGGGCUAACUGAAGCUAUGAGUUACAGGGUCAGGAUUUUCAUCGGCUAGCUUUUUCCAGCCAUGUGAAAAUGUUGCCUUACAAACCAUUGGGAAACUCUGAGAUGUUAAUAUCAAACCAGUCUUAAACCUUCCUAACAGCUUAGUUACUGCCUUAAAAUAAUGAUAAUUAAAAACUCUAAGUCCCUUCAAGCUGCUGUGGCUUAGGAAUAAAUGAUUUUUGGGAUAGUAGCUGCAUUAUUAGCCCUUUACUGAAAGGGACUGGCAUUUUUAUUUCUAAAUACCAAAGAUGAAGUGAAGCAACUCAAACUUGUGAUAAUUUGCUGUAAAACCAACCCUUUAUGGUAACGUGGACUGUGCAUUUUUAGUGCAUGUGUGUUUGGAAUCCUCUGGUUGUUACUUUUUGAGUUAAAGGUCAAGUUUUCCAAAGGCACAAGGAGCAGUUGUCACCCUCACUCCUGUUGUAUUAUGGUUGUGUUGUGAGCCUGCUUCCUGCUACAGCAGAGGCAAAGAGUACAGCAUCUUCUUUCCAGGAUCCAGUUUUCAUUUCAUUUUCAGAUGAAUGUUUUACUGUGCCUGUUCCAUGUUAGCCAAACAUUUUCCUUAGCUCCCGGCUCGUGUAUUGAGGUUGUAUGUAUCUCCUAGCUCUAGUUUUUACAUAACCUGCAAGCAGUUGCUGGCCUUGCAGGAGUAAUUCCAAUCUGAAUUUCCAAUGGAUCUGACCGUGAGUGAUGCUGCCUUCAUCUCCGUAUCAUGCCUAGCACAAAACUGCACUAAGUGUUUCUUACCACUGCGCACUGACUCUGCCUUAACCUGUAAGUCAAAAGAAGCAUCUGUAAAUGCUUCAAAGCUGUUACAAAACUGCACUGUACAAUGGGGCAGGGGGAGUGGGGGUUGCUUUUUAUGGGACGAUCUUUGUAUUGUGUUGUGUAAAUAAAAUCCUCUUAGGAAGGGAA